CAGAAAUGAUAUGCUAUUAAUACAUGUACUAACAACAAGAGUAAAAACAUCUGCAAUCCUGUUGCUGAAAUUUGGUCUCUGUAAAACAAUGCUGGAUUAGAUCUCAGAGACACAGUGUUGGGUGAGGUAGAAAGAAAUAACUUUAUUGUUUUGCCAGGUAAAGGGGACCACAAGGAAUGCCCUCAAGACUAUGUGUUUUGCCCUGGAGGAGGUAAUGAGGAGUCUAAUAGCAAUGGUUCAAGGAGCAGAGCGUGAUCAGCUCCUGGACAUUCUUCUGACUGGUUGGUGGUGCUGUGUGUCCAUAGGUACAGAGAUGCCUGGAGCCACCACCUUGGUGUCUGUCCUCCCCAAGUUGUCCUGGUACAAGGCCUGAAGGAUGUCAUCUUGCCUUAGUGCCACUUGAUGGACACCAGUUGGCAGGCUGCAAUCUAAGAAGAAUCAAGUGAAAUCAGGAGCUCCUUGUGCUAACCUAUAACACAGAACAGAAUCUCCACUUCCCUGAAUGGGACAGCAGGCCUUGGCAAGGAUCACCCACCUCCCUCCCCACAGGAGGCCCCUGCUUUUUGGUUCUCCGAACCCAAAUCCAGAUGAGACUGGCCAUUUCUAGCUAAAGAUCAAGUUACCCUAGGUGUAGUUGAAGCACUAAGCAGAGAGUUCAGAGUCCACUGGAGAGGCAGUCGAGCACAGCCAGCACGGACAGGCCUGAGAUGGAGUUCAGGCCCUAUGAAUUCCUUCUUCAGCUGGAGAUCAGCAAUGAAGGCAGCACAGUCCCCCACCUGCCCCAGUGAGGAUGUCUGAAGUCACUGCAUCAGGCUGCAGCACUCUGACCUGGUCAAUAUGCCAUGUGGUAACUCCUUACUGACUGAUAAGAGUUCUGAGUUACUGAGCCCCAGACUAGCAGCCAUAUCUUAGCCUGAGGCCUGAAACGUAUCACUCACGCUUAUCCUUAAGAGUUCCUACUCCUGGCUUUCAAGAGAGAAGACCCAGGGAACAUUCAUUUGAUCACAAUGAGGAAACUUGUUAGUAGUUGUCAUUAAAUAUUCAUGUUUGUUUUCCUAUAGAUUUAAUCUCUCUGACCCUCAGUUUUUUUUUUUUUUUAUUGUUGUUUUCUGUUACAGUGAGUAGGUAGUCUUAAGCUGUGGGUCUCAAACUAUGUUACUAAAGCAUCAGAAUGUUGUUUCGAGGUGAAAAUCAACCCAAUAUACACACAUACAUUCCAUGAACACAUGUAUAUUCAUGUAACUGUAUAGAUGCACAUGCACAUUGUGUACAUUUCAUAUGUGAGUACAAGUAACCAUAUAUACACAUCCUAAGUGUAUGCACAUGUACAUAUUAUACCACAUAUACACAUGUACAUAUAUACGUACAUAUACAUAUACAAAAGCUCACCUGUGGUAGUUGAACCUCAGUCUGUCUCCCUGUCUCUCAGUCUGGCCUUCAUGGUAACACCUGGGCACCACCGUCUUUAGCCCUGCCCAACUCUGCUUUGAAACCAUCAAGUUAUAGGAUUCUGAGAAAUGGAGUAUUUCUUGCUAUAUCAGUAAAUAAGGGUGUCAUAGUCAUCAGUGAUUUCGGCCCUCCAAAUGUGAAUUUCUGAGCCCUAAGGACAACCAGGAAGGAGAACAAUACCUGCGAUCCAGCAGCCAUCAGCCUGCAGCCACUUCCUACAGUGAGCCCUGAAGAAUUCAGGAUGUAAAAAUGCAGGGUACUGACCCCAGAUAUCUGAGAUGCAUAUGAAAGGAAUGAUUUCAGUGAGCCCAGCCUCUUGAAUCUUCCCACACAUAGAAAACUGCUCAGUUCCUUAAAUUGAGAUAAUCUGGCCUUAAUUCACAAAAACACUUUCAAUGUUCAGACUACUUGCCCUUUGUUGCAAAUUCUAUAUAACCUGACUCCUUCCCCUGCCUCCUGGGACAAUUUCUCUCAGCAUUACUUGAGAUGCUCUCUCCUAGGCUUGAAGUUCUAAAAAACUCACCAAGCAAAACAUAACUCUCAACUUUUAGAUUGUGACUUUUUAAAAUCAACAAUUCAAAGUCCUGUUCCCACCAACCAGCUUGCUGGCAAAUGUGAAAAUGUAGACCUUUGCAUGAGUCACUGCUCCCUGAGGCCAAUCUCUCCUGAAGGAAAUGAGACCAUCUAAUUUGAGGGGUUAAAUUUGUCAAAAAGCAAACUUCCUUUAAGAACCAGGACAGUUCAGUGAAUCUGAAAGCUGGACAUCCCAAACCCUUAGUUAGGACCCUUAGAUCUCCCAAAAUAUCUUUGGUGUGGAUGGUUUCUGCUUAAAGCACUUUCUGUCAAAAAAUGAAGUAGAGUUUUCCACGCUUUGUGACUUGGGCAAAUUGCUUAACCUUCAUUAGUUCCGUUUCCUUAUAAGUAAAAUGAAAACAAUUAUAACACCUAUUUUGUGAGGUUUGGGUUAGGAUUGUAAAAUAAUCCAGAGAGAGAACUCAGCACAUUGUUGGGAGCAUCAUCAACCCUUGCUGUAUGUGAACGUCUUUACAAUUAUUGUUCCUGUGAUUGUAGAACUAGUGCUGACAAUGCCAACAAGAGUGCAUCAGGCAACAAUAACAAAAAUACUUUUGGUGAAGUGUAAAUAUGACUUGAUGACCUAUAAACUUUAAUGGGCAAAGGAGCAAAAAGGAAGAAUUUCAAGCCAGGUGGAAAUCUUAAGGGAUAUGGAAUUAGGGGUGAUGAAACUAUAGACUGAUGAAAAAAGCACAACUUAAAAAUUGAGAAUUGUACUUAUAUUUUAUGUGAUGAACAGAACUAAGGACUUAAUUCCAGAAUGCAGCGUUUCAGGUAACUCUAAGGGACUGCUCUGAAGUGGUAAGGAAGGAGCCAGGAUAUUUUGGAGUUUUUGCAGCUGAGACCAGGCCCAAAAGAUUCCUUUGCAAACAAACAAAAAUUCAGAUGGGAUCAUCUGGCAACAAAAUGGUGAUGAAUCUGACCUUCAACAGACCCUGAGUCUCAUUAUAUGCUGAUUUGACUACGUUAGCAUAUUAAAUGACAUAGCAUCUGGUGGCCAUGACUGGACAUUAGAAGCAAAAAACAAUGAAAAGAGGGUGGCCCCCUAUUCCCUUGAAAAAGCCCUGCCACUUCCCUGGUAGACUAAUGCACAUGCCUCUCCAUAAUUAGAUUCACUCUUCCUGACUUUGUGCUUCCCUUGCGGCUCAGCAGUAAAGAAUCCUCCUGCCAUGAAGGAGACAUGGGUUUGAUCCUUUGGUUGGGAAGAUCCCUCGGAGAACAAACUGGCAACCCACUCCAGUAUUCUUGUCUGGGAAAUCCCAUGGAGAGAGGAGCCUGGUGCACUACAGUCCAUGGGUUGCAAAAGAGUUAGACCUGGCUUAGUGACUAAAGAACAACUCUUGCCUUUGUCUUUAUCCUUUAAAAUUAAACACCUUUCCCUGUGUGGGGUGAGAAGUUGAUCUGUGAACUUAGUUCCUUCUACAUUUUCUGGCCACUGAAUAAAGCUUGAGCUGUGCCCA